AAAUCUUAUUUAGUUCUGCUUUUUUUUUUGUUGUUUACCUUCUUGAAAUUCAGACGAAUUUCUUAGUAUUAUAAAAUAAUUUGAAAAAAAUAUAUUUAUUUUGUCAACUUUAAUUAAAUUAUAAGAAAAAAAAAACAAAUAUAAAAAUUUUAUUAUUGACAAAAUGGCGAAUUUACAAUAUUCUUUAUGGUGGAUGAUAUUAAUGGUACAAGGAAUAAUAUUAGCACAAAGUAUUGUUAGUUUAUCAGCGACAUCAAACCAAGAAAAAACUUGUAAUAUAAAUGAAUUUAGAUGCACGAAUGGUAAUUGUAUACCAUUAAAAUGGCGUUGUGAUGGUGAAAGUGAUUGUGCGGAUGGUUCAGAUGAAGAAAGUGGUUUUUGUAUGCAACAAUGUAAACAGAAAGAAAAUGAAAUUAUGUGUAAGGAUGGUACUCAAUGUAUACCGAUUGCAUGGGUAUGCGAUCGGGCCUAUGAUUGUACUGAUCAUUCUGAUGAAUUCAAUUGCGGCGAUGAAACAUGUCGCUCUGAUGAAUUUACAUGCGGCAAUGGUCGUUGCAUACAACGUAAAUGGAUUUGCGAUAAAGAUGAUGAUUGCGGUGAUGGUACUGAUGAAAAAGAUUGUCCCGCUCAAGAAUGUAAUCCAAAAGUAGAUUUUACAUGUGCUGAUGGUGCCUGUGUAUCAAAGAAAUGGAGAUGUGAUGGUGAUCCAGAUUGUCCUGAUGGUUCAGAUGAACAUAAUUGUGGUAAUGUAACUCUUAUACCAUCACCAUGUGUUUUCAAAGAAUAUCAAUGUCGUGAUCAUGUAACAUGUUUACAUAAAAGUUGGUUAUGCGAUGGAGAAAAAGAUUGUCCGGAUGGUGAUGAUGAAAUGGCGCCCAACUGUUUAAAUGUAACAUGUAGAGCUGACCAAUUUCAAUGUGCUGACAAUACAUGUAUACCAGGAUAUUUAAUGUGCAAUGGCCAAUCGGAUUGUGCUGAUAAAAGUGAUGAAUUAAAUUGCCAUAUAGUUAAACCAAUAUCAUGCGAUAAAAAAACGCAAUUUGAUUGUGGUGCUGGAUUAUGUAUACCACUAUCAAAAGUUUGUGAUAAAAAGAAAGAUUGUCCUGAUGGUGAAGAUGAACCGUUAGAUAAAUGUAAUAUUAACGAAUGUUCUAAAAAUAAUGGUGGUUGCUCACAUAAAUGUGUUGAUACACCAAAUGGAUAUUAUUGUGAUUGCGAAAAAGGAUAUAAACUUGAAAAUAAUAAAACAUGUGUUGACAUUGAUGAAUGUUCUAUACCGGGGUCAUGUUCUCAAAUCUGUAUUAAUGAAAUUGGUACAUUUAAGUGUGAAUGUGAGACCGGUUAUAUGCGUGAUCCACGUAAUCAUACAAGAUGUAAAGCAACUGAAGGUCAUGCAUCACUAUUAUUUGCAAGACGUCAGGAUAUACGUAAAAUAGCAUUAGAUCAUGCUGAAAUGACAUCAAUUGUAAAUGAUACAAAAUCAGCAACAGCAUUAGAUUUUGUAUUUAGAACUGGUAUGAUAUUUUGGAGUGAUGUUUCAACUCAAAGGAUAUAUAAAGCUCCUAUUGAUGAAGGCAAUGACAAAACAAUUGUAUUAAAAGAUCGUUCUGUGACAUCUGAUGGUUUAGCUGUUGAUUGGGUUUAUAGUCAUAUUUACUUUACAGAUACACAUAAGAGCACAAUUGAAUUAAUAAAUUUUGAUGGUAAUAUGGGUAAAGUCCUUAUUGAAGAUGAUAUGGAUAUACCAAGAGCAAUUGCUUUAGAUCCAAUUGACGGUUGGAUGUAUUGGACAGAUUGGGGUGCAAAUCCAAAAAUUGAACGUGCCGGUAUGGAUGGUACACAUCGUCAAGCAAUUGUUACAUAUGAUGUUAAAUGGCCAAAUGGUAUAACAUUAGAUUUAGUUAAGAAACGUGUUUAUUGGGUUGAUGCUAAACUAAAUGUGAUUUCAUCAUGUAAUUAUGAUGGUACUGAUAGACGUUUAAUAUUAUAUUCAUCUGAAUCACUAAGACAUCCAUUUUCAAUUACAACAUUCGAGGAUUAUAUGUAUUGGACUGAUUGGGAUAAACAAACUGUAUUUAAAGCAAACAAAUUUAAUGGUGAAGGUGUCGAAGCAAUUACAGCACUUCAUAUGGUUCAACAUCCGAUGACAAUUCAUGUAUAUCAUCCAUAUCGUCAACCAGAUGGCACAAAUCACUGUCAAUCAGUGAAUGGUCAUUGUUCACAUUUGUGUCUACCAGCACCAAAAAUAAAUGAACGUAGCCCACGUAUAUCCUGUGCAUGUCCAACAGGAUUAAAAUUAAUGGAAGAUAGACUGAUGUGUGUUGAAGACAUAAAACCAACAACAAUAUCGCCAUAUCGAAGAAGAACUACAGUUUCACCUAAUGUAUUGGUAACAAAUAAAACUGCGACGCAAGCUAAUGCCAAUAAAAAUUCAGGAACAUCAAGUGAUAAAACUAAAACUUCAACAGAACUUAACAAUGAGGCAUCUAGUUAUUACUCUCCAUAUUACGAUUUAUAUUCAGAUCUAUAUUUUUAUACGAUUUGUUCACAAAUAUUCAGUGAUAAUGAACUCAAUAGUAAUGAUGAAAAUAUGAUUACCUAUGAUAUUGAUAUAAAUAAAUAUGAUGAAAAAAAUUCAAAAGUAAAAACGGAUGAAUAUAAUCCUUUAAAAAAUAAAGAUAUUCAAUCAAAGGUAGAUAAAACAGAAGAUAUUUACCUUAUGAAUAAUGAAAAUUUAAGAAAUUCUUACAACAAAUAUGAAAAUACAAAAGAUUUUAAAAAGAAUAUUAAAAAAAGAAAUGCUAUAUUAGAAAAUGACUUGCAAAAUCAAAAUAAUAAUAUGAUAUCGAAUUUUUCGCAUUUCGAAAAAACUAACUAUACUAAUAAUUCAAAUCAUCAUCUUGAAAGAAAUUCACAAUUACAUGGAAAUUCUUAUGAUUUAAAACGUAAAAACAAAAUAAAUGAUAGUGGAUCAGAUCACACUAUUUUAAUAAAUGAAAAUAGUGAUGUAUCACAUGGUAACCAAAUAAAAAUUAAAAAUAAAAAUUUUGAUGAGAUGAAAUUCAUCAGAAAUCAACAUAAUUCCAAGUAUAAAGACGUACCUAUCAUAAAUUUAAAGCAUAAUAGUGAACAAUUGGAAAUCCGUUUCCCUAAAAAUAUGCAAUUUAAUUCAGAUACAAAAAAUAUAGAAAACAUAAUUCAAAAUAGUAACCUACUUCAACCUAAACUUCAUUCAAAAUAUAAACAAAGAAAAGUUUUUAAUUUAAAAAUUAUUAAAGAUUUUCUAAAAAACUUUAUUUCCUGGAUUUACUCAAUAAAUUUUUAUAAAACUUGGAAAUAUUACAUUAAUGAUUCUGAUAAAAUUUUCAAUAAUGAAACAAAUAAUUAUGAUAUUUAUUCAAAUUCUUCAAUUCUCUACAAGGAUAAUUAUAUUGAAGGAAAAAAUAAGAAUAUUACAGGAAUCAACUUGUCCUAUUACUCAUUACAAAAUAUUAUAGCAUUAAGCAAUACAAUAUCACCUUUAAUUAACAGUAGUAGCACAUCCUAUUCUAAAGAUGAUAAAAAUAAACCUUUUCAAUUCAAUAAAGAAUACUUUUUGAAUAAUUCGAUGAAAUUAGCAAAAAAUACUAUUGAUGAGCAUAAUGAGAUUACUAACACAAUUCCGAAUGAAAUUGUAUCAUCAGAAAUGAAAAUUAGAAAUAAUUUUUAUAAAGAAAAUUCUAAAGAGUAUCAAAUUGAAAGAAGAAAAAAUUACUCAACCUUCAGACCAACAAACAAAAGAAAUACAUUACAUAUAAAACAUUCAAAAAUGCAUUCUCAAUCAUCAUCUAAAAAAAUUAAUAGUUCUUCAUUUUCUAAAAAAAAAAAUGAAAAUAUCAUUUCAGAUAUUUUCAAAUUUAAAUUUGAUAAAAAAAUUUAUUAUACGAUACCUUCACAGGUGAAAAAUAUUUUAAGAAAUGAUAAAAUCAAUAAAAUAUCAUCAUCAUUAUCAUUAUCAUCUUCAGACUUAAAACAUAAUAUUGUUACACUUUUGAAUAGUUCUAGUAAAAAUUCUACUUACACUAAUAAAAAAAAUCAAAAUGAAUCUUUACAAUAUUAUAAUGAUGAAGAAUUCAAUGAUAGAAACAUGAACGAUGUAAUAUAUUAUUAUGAUAUUGAUAAUAUUGAUGAUGGUCACGGUGCUAAUGAUAAUGAUAAUAAUAUUAAAAGUAGAAAUGAUAAUAUGAAUAAUGAUAGUAAUAAAUAUAAUGACUUUCAUAUUAAACAACAUGAUCAUCAUCAAUAUCAUAAUCAUAAUAAGUUUUCUCUUAAAAAUCCGAAUACUUCAAUUAUACAAUUUUCAUCAUCUUUAAAUACAAGUAGUACUAGUCAUAUUCCAAUACCAAUUUCAAAUUUUCGAAAUAAUGAUACUUUUAUUAAUAAUACUAUUACUAUUACUACUAAUAACAACAUCAAUAUUAUUGAUGUAUUAAAAAAUACAAAAAAUAUACUAAAAUUUCUUGACCGUAAUGUCAUUGAUGAAAAUAUAAAAGAAAAAAAUUCUAAAGAUUUUGGUGUUAAAAAAAAUCAUAUUGAAAAUAAAUGGAAAAGUAAUAAAACUACUACUUUACGUAAAAUAGAAGAAGAAAGCAAUAAGUUAAAAAAAAUAAAACAACCAAAAAAAUAUUAUAAAAGAAAACAAAUGAAAUUGAAAAAACAAAAUAAAAUGAAUGGGAUAAAGUAUAAAAUGAGUAGAAAGAAGAGGUCUAAUCAAGCUAAUGGCAACAAAAAUCAAUCAAAUAAUUUUACUGACAUGAAAAGGACUACUCAAAAUGAGGACAAAAUAUAUUUGAAAUGGCUUUGUAAAAAGCUUAAAGCUAGAGCCGAAUUACAUACAAAUGGAAAUGGUACACGUCCUGAUGGUACAACUAUACAUCCACAACAACCAGAUUCAGGAUAUGUAGCACUAGUUGUUAUAGCCGUAUUAUUAAUCGGAUUUUUAAUCCUAGGAUUGCUUUCAUAUUUCGGUUAUCGUCACUGCAGUCGAAGAACACUUACAUCAAUCAAUUUCGAUAAUCCUGUUUAUCGUAAAACAACUGAAGAUCAAUUCAGUUUGGAAAAAAAUAUGCCAACACGAAUGUACCCAAGUACAGUUGAUGAUGAGCUAAUGCGACAUUCAUCACAGAGAAGACUUUUUGCACAGUAUUAAAUUAAUAAAAUAAAAUAUUUUAUUUGUAAUAAAAAUUAAAAUUAAAAUAAAAACAAACCACAAAUAUUUAUUAAUUAAAUUUAAAAAUAAUAACUAUAUAUAGAAAGUAUAAAUAUAGAAUUUAAAAAAAAAAAAAAACAAAACAAAGAAAACAGAUAAUUAAUUAUAAUAUAGAAAAAAAAUGAAAAUUGAAUAUUAAUUAUAAUUCAUUGUUUAAAAAUAAAUUAAACUAAAUAUAAUUAAUUAGAAAUUUAAUAAUUAUUAAAUUAAAUUAAAUUGAUAUAUGGAAAUUCCAAAAAACAAAAAAAAACAUAAUUUUUAACAUAGGCUACAAAAAUAUUAAAAAAAAAUUUAAUAAUAAUUUUACUACGUAUAAGAAUACUUUAAAAUAAAUAAUUUACUUAUUAAACAAGUGAAUAAUUGAAAAAAAAAAGAAGACAAAAAAAAAAAAAAUGAAACAAGAGUAAAAAAAUUAAAAUUCAUUUUAAAAUACCUUAAUUUAUAAAAAUAAUUUAAAUAAUAUAUAAGUAAAUAGUUAUAAAAAUUAUUUAAUAUUACAAAAUAUUUACAUAUAAAAUAUAAAUUAACAAAAAAUAAUACAAAAAUAUGAGUAAAAACUUGAAUUAUGUAUGUGAAUUUUUAAUAAUUAAUAAUUAUUAUUCAAAAAAUUUCGAACAAAAUCACUUCGUUGUAUAGCAAACGUAAAAACAAGUUCAUAAACAUUCAUCAUUAAUCGUAUUGGAAUAAUUUCAUGUCAUAAAUGUUUUAUAUCUACAUUAAAAAUAUUUGUAUCAAAAAAUUUUCGACAGAAAUAAAUUCUAUAAAAAAAUUUUUUAUAUAAACUAGUUUCUGAUAUUACAAUAUCCGUACUAAAAUAAUUUCAUGUUCUCACGUCAAUAACAAUUAUUAAAUUACAUACUCAUUUUUCAAUAUGAUCAGACCAAAUGAGUUUGAUCGAAAAGUGCUCCUGCUAAUCUCUCUUUUUAAAUCUACAAAUAUCGGUAAAAGGUAUUAAAAAUUCAUUUCAAUUAUUACGAUAGCUUAAUAAUAUAUUUUAUAAUUUUCUACAAUAUUAACUGCAACUGAUGCAUUUUUCUUCUAGAAUUUCAAUAAAAAUAAAAUUUUUAUACAUAAUUCAAGUUAAUAUUAAUAAAAAGAUAAAAAUUUUAAAAUAAGGGCCAAAGAUUAAAAUUAUUUAUUAUAUCGUUUUAAUUUUUAUAUCAGCGAACAAAAAACACAAAGAAAAUAUAAGGGAAUCGAAAAAAAAACAAAAAAAAAAUUAAGACAACAAAGGAAUUUCUCCUUUGAAAUACAUAAAACAUUAUAUUCGUUUUAUUUGGCACAAGAGAUCCUUAUAAUUUAAUUUUUGUGAAUUUAUUAUUUUUUCUUUAUUCUAAUUUUUAAUUUUUUUUAUGCCUCAUUUUGUAAUGGUAAUGAUGGAUUUGCAAUUAAAGCUUUAUUAAAAAAAAAGUAAAAAAUAAAACAAUUUUAUUUUAUAAUCAUUAAUUUUUAAUAAAAUUAAAAUAAAUUUUUUAUUUAUAAAAAUAUAUAUAUGUAUAAUUAACAAUUAAUUAAAUUAAAAUGCUUAACAUAGAAUUUUAUUAAAAAUAUUAUUGCUAACAUAUGACAAAAAAAAAAAUCUAUUUUACUUACACGCUGCGAGCUUUUAUAUAAUUUAACAUACUAAUGGUAAAGAAAUAUCCUUUUAAAAAAUUCAUAGAUUUAUUUUCAAUGACAAUAGAGCCGCUCACAAAAACAGGAACAGAAUGCGUAUAAAAAAUUUUUAAUCAUACCAUAAACCAUCGCAUAUACCACAUAUACACCUACAACAUAUUAUUUACUUUACACAAUCAUAAUUAAAAAAAAAAUUAAAAAAAAAAACAUACACAUCUAUUUAAAAAUGAAAACCAAGUGAUUAUUAAUGAAAAUCAUUUCACACACAUUUAUAUACAAUAAUUAUUGUAAUAAAUAUUUUUAUACAAAUAAAAAUGAAAAAAAAUAAAUAAGAUAAUAAAAGAAUGGAUUCAACAUCAACAGUAUACAAAAAAAAAAAAAAACUAAAUUGAAAUUAACAAAACAACCAACACAAAUCUUUUCAACACAUCCGAAUAACAUCACAAAUGCAAUAGAAUCAAACAUGUUGAUCAUACAAAAUUUAGUCAAAACAUCACAAUAUCAAAACUACCAUUCAGAAGACAGCUGGCUGCUCAAUAAAAUCUUUUCUACUGCUCAAAAAAAAAAAAAAAAAAUACCAAAACCAAAAUUGUUUUUAAAAUUUUCGUUUUAUUGUUUGUUGUUGUCCGUAAGACAUGUUUUCGGGAAUCUCAAUAUUAUUGUCAAAUAAAACACAAAUCCAAUAAAAUCAAUUAAAUUGUACACAAACACAAAUGCAUACAUAUACUCUUAUGUAUAAUAUGUCAAAUGUCAAAAUAAUUUUCUUAAUUAUUUUUUUUUUUAUGUUCAGAUUUUAAUGAAAAAAAAAGCAUAUUCGUAAAAUUGCUAAAAAGGAUAAGAAGGUACGAAAAAAAAAACAAUUGUAAUAAAUUCUUUUUAAACUUGUAAAAUAUAUGUAUGUAUAUACACAUUAUAUGAAAUAUAUUUGUAUGUAAAUAAAUAAAAAUAUAAUAAAAAAUAUAAAUAUUGUUUUCAGUUAUCAUUUAUUUUAUUUUAUUUUGUUUUUUUUUUUAUAAUUAUUUGUGUGUACUAUAAAAUAAAUGAGAGAAACAAAAUUUUUAUUAAGUAAAUCAAAAAAUUGCAUAUAUCUAGGAAUAAAAAUAAAUUCAAAACAAUAUUUUGGCAAAUUUCAAACUUAAAAUAAUUCAAAAAAAUAAAGAUGAUUGAAAGUAAUUUAAAGAAAAUGAAAUUAUUUAAAAAAAAUUAUUAAAUUAUUCAUUUAUAAUUGCUGAUCUAAGUUUUGUAAGAUUUUAGAAUUUCAAAAUUUCGCCACAAGAAGUAUGGAAUAUUGAUAAAUAGCAAUAAAUAUUGCACUCUAAAUAAUACAAAACAAAACUCUAUUCCGAGAUUUCUAAAAGAUUUGAGGCACAUCGAUUUAAACAAUAUAUUUUGAUUUAAUUUGUAUGAAAAGUUUUAGUAUUACAUUGAUACCAGAUUUAUGUUGUUACUAUUUUUUUUUUAAUUCUACUUCGCUCCUUGGAAGAACAUAAGGCUGGGCCAUGUUAUUGUAGAUAACCAUGAACACCAGUUUCUUACGUCAUUGAGUAUACUAGGUAGGUGACGAGCCUACCUUAACUAUAUUGUUAUUAUAAUUAAUACAAUUUGUAAUUACAAUUUAAAUUUAUAAUAUAAUUUAUAAUAAAAUUAAUUUAAAAAACUCAGCAUUCAAUAACAAACAAAAAAAAAAUUCCUUUUACAGACCAUUUGUAUAACAUCAAUUUUUUUGGAUUUAAUUCCUAUGUUUAAAAUAUUAUGGUAUCAUGUAAAAUAGCUUCUUUUUUAUUUUAAAUAAAAUUAAAGGUUAUUUUCCAAAUUAAAUUCAUUCAUGAAAUGAAUUUUAUUGAAUAUUCACUACUGUAUACAUAUACAUACUUUUAUGUUUUGAACUGUUAUUCAAAUUGAAUUUAAAUAUGUAUGUAAAAUAGUGUUAUACAAUAAUAUUCAUAUUCAUAUUAAAAUUUUGAUCAUAUUGAAUAAUAAUUAAUUCAAUAAUAUUAUUUCUUUUCGAAUAAAUUUUAAAUGUAUAAAAAUACAUAAAUAUUAUUAAAAUUAAUUAUAUUUAAAUAAUGAGAAAAGAAAAAAAAAUAAGAUUCAUUGAAAUUCAUAAAAGUUUAUUACUUUGUACGUGUGCCACUUGCCAAUUUCAUUAAACUUAUAUAAAUUUAAAAUUACAAAUAAUACAAUGUAACACGUAUGUAAUUUUAAUAAUUCUUUUAUACAAUUAAAGGUAACCAUAGUACGUUUUUCAUACAUAUUCUUCUUCUCUGUCUAAAAUUUCGAAACUAUUUCAAUUUAAAGAAUUAAAUAAUGUCAACAUGCAAUUGAAAAAUAAAAUAUUAUGUAAAUUUAAUUAUUUACAUAUGAAAUAAAAUUUUUAUGAAUUUUGAGUAUUCUUAAAACUUCUGAAAUAUUUAUAUUUUCUUUUUUAUAAUAUAAAAAGGUUUAUUGAAUUGGUAUAUCCCAAUUGUUAUGGAUUAUCCGCAAUAUUAACAGAUAAUUGUAUACAUGUAUAAUGAUUCUGUUAAAGCAAUUUUAAAUUUUAAUUUUUUAAAAAUAUCUUUGAAGAAAUUAUGUUUCGUUUUUAAAGGGUAAUUUUUUUGUAUGCUGCUUCUUUAUAGAUUUAAUCUUCAAAAUAAAAAACUCUAACCACUUGUAUACAUUUGGAAUUCGGUAUUUAGAUCAGCAAUUACGAAUACACAUUCUUGUGUGCCCAUAAAGGCCUUCCAUUAUGCUUGUAAUGUUAGUCUAGAGACAGUUUCAAUUAUUUGAAGAAUUGUGUUGCUAAACGCAUAUAAAUAAAUCAAUUGUAAUUUGUUUAACUAAUAUUUAUCUCAAAUUUACUCCUUAUCUUCGUGUAGUUUCAUAUUUUAUGUAUUCUAUUUAUUUUAUUUCUUUGCAUAUUUAAUAAUAUUAUCAAGUAUUAAAUAAAGCAACAAAUCUAAAGUGGUAAAAUUUUAUAAAAACUUUGUAAUUAAAAAUUUAUUUUAUAAUACAUACAAAUAAUAUUUUUUUUUAAUUUUAUUUAUAUAAACUUAGUUUAUAUAAUGCAAUAAAUAUAUAAUAAUGAACAUAUUAAAUAAUAUAUUUAAUAUAUUAUCUUGUGUACAUUAUGAAAACUAUAUGUAUAACUAAUUU